rnacentral:snRNA from 1 species
GUACUUGCUUCGGCAGUACAUAUGCUAAAGUUGAAACGAUCGAGUGUAGAUUACUACUGCCGCUGCGCAAGGAUGACACACAAAAUUAUGAAGAGUUCCACAAUUUU